rnacentral:rRNA from 1 species
CCUACGGGGGGCAGCAGUGGGGAAUAUUGCACAAUGGGGGAAACCCUGAUGCAGCGACGCCGCGUGAGUGAAGAAGUAAUUCGUUAUGUAAAGCUCUAUCAGCAGGGAAGAAAAUGACGGUACCUGAGUAAGAAGCCACGGCUAACUACGUGCCAGCAGCCGCGGGAAUACGUAGGGGGCAAGCGUUAUCCGGAUUUACUGGGUGUAAAGGGAGCGUAGACGGCAGUGCAAGUCUGGAGUGAAAGGCGGGGGCUCAACCCCCGGACUGCGCUGGAAACUGUACGGCUGGAGUGCAGGAGAGGUAAGUGGAAUUCCUAGUGUAGCGGUGAAAUGCGUAGAUAUUACGAAGAACACCAGUGGCGAAGGCAGCUUACUGGACUGUAACUGACGUUGAGGCUCGAAAGUGUGGGGAGCAAACAGGAUUAGAUACCCGAGUAGUC